GACACACUAUCAUUAACUGAAUCCAUAGGUUAAUGAGGCGAACCGGGGGAACUGAAACAUCUAAGUACCCCGAGGAAAAGAAAUCAACCGAGAUUCCCCCAGUAGCGGCGAGCGAACGGGGAGCAGCCCAGAGCCUGAAUCAGUAUGUGUGUUAGUGGAAGCGUCUGGAAAGGCGCGCGAUACAGGGUGACAGCCCCGUACACAAAAAUGCACAUGCUGUGAGCUCGAUGAGUAGGGCGGGACACGUGGUAUCCUGUCUGAAUAUGGGGGGACCAUCCUCCAAGGCUAAAUACUCCUGACUGACCGAUAGUGAACCAGUACCGUGAGGGAAAGGCGAAAAGAACCCCGGCGAGGGGAGUGAAAAAGAACCUGAAACCGUGUACGUACAAGCAGUGGGAGCACGCUUAGGCGUGUGACUGCGUACCUUUUGUAUAAUGGGUCAGCGACUUAUAUUCUGUAGCAAGGUUAACCGAAUAGGGGAGCCGAAGGGAAACCGAGUCUUAACUGGGCGUUAAGUUGCAGGGUAUAGACCCGAAACCCGGUGAUCUAGCCAUGGGCAGGUUGAAGGUUGGGUAACACUAACUGGAGGACCGAACCGACUAAUGUUGAAAAAUUAGCGGAUGACUUGUGGCUGGGGGUGAAAGGCCAAUCAAACCGGGAGAUAGCUGGUUCUCCCCGAAAGCUAUUUAGGUAGCGCCUCGUGAAUUCAUCUCCGGGGGUAGAGCACUGUUUCGGCAAGGGGGUCAUCCCGACUUACCAACCCGAUGCAAACUGCGAAUACCGGAGAAUGUUAUCACGGGAGACACACGGCGGGUGCUAACGUCCGUCGUGAAGAGGGAAACAACCCAGACCGCCAGCUAAGGUCCCAAAGUCAUGGUUAAGUGGGAAACGAUGUGGGAAGGCCCAGACAGCCAGGAUGUUGGCUUAGAAGCAGCCAUCAUUUAAAGAAAGCGUAAUAGCUCACUGGUCGAGUCGGCCUGCGCGGAAGAUGUAACGGGGCUAAACCAUGCAC
rnacentral:rRNA from 1 species